GCCAUGAGGAACAAGAGCUUUACCCAGCAUCCCACAGCCUUCGCUUCGAGCAGCACAGCCUGGACCUUAAUCUUUGUCUGCCUCCCUACCAUGCUCUGCCUUGAAGAUGCUGGCAAAAGACUGAGUUCAAGUUUCACACUAUUUACAACUUAUUAGGACAAGGACUAGAGGGACAGCUUUCCUGUCCUCAUCCUUGAACUUGGUGGAUCCCAAACAUUAUUGAGGUCACUCAACCAUAUUCUUUUUUUAAAAAGAUUUAUUUAUUUCAUUUAUAUGAGUUUAUAAGAGUACACUGUAGUUGUUUUCAGACACACCAGAAGAGGGUAUUGGAUCCCAUUACAGAUGGUUGUGAGCUACCAUGAGAUUGCUGGGAUUUGAACUCAGGACCUUUGGAAGAACAGUCAGUGCUCUUAACUGCUGAGCCAUCUCUCCAGCUCAACCAUAUUCUUUAGUUGCAUUAGAAAUUUAAAACUGAGGGCCAGUGGGGUGGCUCAGUGGGUAACAAUGCUUUCCACCCAGUCUGGGGGCCUGAGUUUGACUCUGCGACCCGCAUGGUGGAGAGAAGCAACUGCUGCAGGGUGCACUUUGACCUCCACAGAUACACUGGCACGUGUGCAAGCCCACACACAAAGGAAAUCAAUAACUUUCAAAACUUUAAAGCCAAGUAUGGUGGCAUACACCUCUAAUUCCAGAGCUCAGGAGGCAGAGGUAACAGGAUAAAAGAAAGUUGGAAGCUAGCCUAGGUUACAUAGGAAGAGCCUGUGCCAAAAAGCCAAAAAA
rnacentral:lncRNA from 1 species